CUCUCACUCUUCUUCAGCAUGUUAGUGAAAAGAAUUCCCCCAGCCCAAAGGCUUUGCUUGAACCAUUGCCCUUUUCUUCUGCAAUCAGAAAAGAAUGUCUGGAGACAAUGAAAUUGUUGGCUGGGAUUGUUUACUUUCUCCAGAGUUGGUGAUUCUGAUGCUCUGCAGAAACUAUCAAUACAUUUGGGAGAGAAUGAGCAGCGUCUGGGAAGAGUGCCUGAAUGAGGAGAGAAAUAGAGACCAAGAAGCGAGAGGAAGCGGAAAGGGGCAAGCACACAGAUGGGCCUGAGGAUGUCAACAGGGAGAGAGAGAGACGUUUACAGAAAAGAGGAAGGGCAGAAGACAGGGAAGAAAAGAAGGAAAGAAGCAAGCAGUCUGGGAUUUGAAGGGACCCAGGAGGAAAGGUGGGGAAAGAAAAGAGACAAAAAGCAAAGCAAGUAGUGAGCCUGAAACUGAGCUUCCUUUCUUUCCAUAGCUGACACUGAGUAGAGUCGAACUUCACAGGCCAGAAGCCAUCUGCGGCAUCAGCCCCAGUCCCACACCACUGCCAUGGGCUGUGGGGCUGCACUCACGGGUCAGGGCCGAAUGCAGCUGGAGAAACCCAGGAACUCCCAUAUGGUCAGAGGCUCUGCUCUCUUUACACAAAGCUGCUAUUGACAUCAAAGUGGCUCCCUGUGACCCGUGGUGUUCACUGUUCAAGCUCAGAGGCCUCUCUUUCAGUCUCAGGCCAUCUUUGUAACUGUUUAAACCAGUUGUCUUUAGGGAAGUAGACCCUAUGCCCAAAUUUGUAACGAUUUCUAUGUUUUCCAGGGUGUGGGUUUUGUUUAGUUUAACACCAAUAGUCAGUUGGUUCUGAGUGAUCUUUUCACCUCCUGGUGUCACUUAAAAAGAAGUUUUUUAAAAAGGACAUAUUUCUUUAUUUGUAAAUAUGUAUGCAUAUGUUGAGUAUGGAAACAUUUUGUGGGUACAUACACAGACACACAUAUACACACAUACACCCACAUAAGGCUCUCAUAUACAGUUUCUAGGAAACCAAGAACAAAGCAGUGCAGGGUAUUUCUCAGUAAUCCAGAGUCCCUCUUUCAUUUCUAUUCUUAUUAUCUUAGAGAGGAUGUCUUUCAGUGAGAUACAUUUCUUAGCUCUCUAGACAAUUUGCUGGGACCACACUUUGAUAGGCCCCUCUUACGAUUUUUAAUUUUACCCCUUUCAGUAGACUUCUGCACAUAUAAUCAUUCAUUUCUGUAAGCUCUAUCCCAGGAAGUUUUUAAAAAACAAAUUUUGCCUGUGUGGCUUUUAAUUGUCCUCCCAAAUUGUGUCUGGUAUGCCGAUGUCCUCCCC
ensembl:lncRNA